rnacentral:rRNA from 1 species
GUGAGGAAUAUUGGUCAAUGGGCGGGAGCCUGAACCAGCCAAGUCGCGUGAAGGAAGAAGGAUCUAUGGUUCGUAAACUUCUUUUGCAGGGGAAUAAAGUGCAGGACGUGUCCUGUUUUGUAUGUACCCUGAGAAUAAGGAUCGGCUAACUCCGUGCCAGCAGCCGCGGUAAUACGGAGGAUCCGAGCGUUAUCCGGAUUUAUUGGGUUUAAAGGGUGCGUAGGUGGUUUGAUAAGUCAGCGGUGAAAGUUUGCAGCUUAACUGUAAAAAUGCCGUUGAAGCUGUCGGACUUGAGUGUAAAUGAGGUAGGCGGAAUGCGUGGUGUAGCGGUGAAAUGCAUAGAUAUCACGCAGAACUCCUAUUGCGAAGGCAGCUUACUAAGCUACAACUGACACUGAAGCACGAAAGCGUGGGGAUCAAACAGGAUUAGAAACCCGUGUAGUCC